AGGAUCCACCCCUUCCUAGACCUCAUUUAAGGGUUGGCAGGGGAGGCAAGAAUGUCUUGCUUGAGAUUCCUGUCUACCUGAGGCCUUCUAAGGCCUAGGUGAAGGGCAUAUAGCCUGGAGUCUCCUUGCAGGUGUUGUGAUACAUAUGUGGUACACUUGGGACAGGCUCUCUUAUGGCUACCUUCAAGGGGAAAAAAAACUGCAAAGAUAGGAUGAAGAUAAUGGUAGCAAAAGCAAGGAGAAACUUCAAGUGAAGGAAACAAAUCAGGCUGGAGACUCUUCAAAACAAAAAUGUUCCUACCAUGUUUUGGCUCUUAUGCUUGUAGUAAAUACCUAACAAUGUAACAGCUGAACUUAGUCUCUGGGAGUCUCUGGUACUUUGGUAAUUUUUGGUGCUUUUUGACCUUGAGAGAAAGGCACAGGAACUGUACUAGGAAAGGACAGCUGACUAAAUCUGACAGAUUAAAUUCAUCUGCUGUAGUUUGCUUAAGCAGAAGAGGUUUUAAUUUUCUUCCACAUCAAAACCAACAUACAUCAACACUUCUGUUUCCCUGUCUUCAAGACCAGAUCUCCCCUGAAGACCAGUGGGAUCAGUGUGACUGUUUGAAGGUUAUGUUAUGGAUGCUGCAAAUACUCCUGUUUACAGAGACAUGUUUCCAGAAGUGACCAAAAAAGAGAAUGUUUGCCUCCAGCUCUCACUAAUGAGCUACAAAACUUUAAUAUUGAGGAGGAAAUACCUUUGAUUUGCUCAUUUGUCAGAUAAUAGCAUUCUCCUUUUAUUCACUUUGCUUAGUGCCAAGGUAGAGGAUUGUAAUUUGAUGUAAUGGGGGGUCCAGUGGUAUGUUGGUGGGUAAUACUGUAAUGUAGUUUCCUGCUACCACUUCACCCUGCUGCAAUUUGCAUGGCUGAUGAGUUUCAGCACGGUUUGAAGCUAAUAUGAGGAGGCUGAGGUAGAAGGGAUGUGAACCGAAGGACCAUCAGGGGCUCUUAUAGAGAGGGAGAAGUUAUUUAAUAAGAGCAUUCUCUGAAAUGAGUGAUCAAAAAGUGGUAAUGAAGGGGGAUACUCCUAUGCAUUCUAAGAAAG
ensembl:lncRNA